CAGCCCCGCAUGUUAAGUUUGGAAAAACAAAUGAUGAAGGUUUCUGAUCAGUUCAAAGCCCUUGGUUCUGCUCUCCAGGGCCAAGCAGAACAAAUUUAGUGUCUCUUCAAAAUAACAAUGCUUCAAAUGCUUGAAGACAAAUUACAUGCCUUCCCUCAAGUCUUCUCCUCCCCAGACUAAAUAUUCAGGGAUUCAGAUCCCAUCCCCAUCAAGACUACCUUCUUCUACCUUCACUGGCUCCCUCACCAUGGCAUCAUUCAAAGGGCAACCUUUGAGGAGAUUCAACCUGGCAACUGCCUCUAGUUGUUCUCAACAUCAAAGUCCUUGGAAAUGUCAAAUGGAUAUGAUUUUAUUCAGGAGGAUAAUUAAAUCUGGUAACCUAAGAAAAUAAAUAUGAAGAAAGAAAAUUUUUGCAGAGAUGCAGAGAUUUUUAUCAAUGGAAAGAAAAGCUGUUGGCAUUCAUUCAUUCAACAAUCAAGGAAAUGAUUGUGUAAUAUUGGUCUCCUUAGGUCCCUGAGAAUUCUGGAUCUAUAGGUUCUUGCUACUUUUCCAAAGUUUAGAGUGGGCUGUUUGUAUAUCAUGACACAAGCCCUCAACGAGGCAGCAUUCUAUCUACGUUAGAAACAAGUCCAGUA